ensembl:lncRNA
GUGACCAUAAUUACUUUCCCAUUUAAAAAUAAUUUUAUUAAUUAUUAACUUUACUGUCUUUCAUCUUUAAUGUAAAAAUUAUCUAUUUAUAUAAUUUGAAUGCAUUUACGUCCUAUUUUUUCUUAAGAAUUUCAAUGGCCAUUUAAUAUGAUAUACAUAUUAACUGUUUUACAAAUUGUCCUUUAAGUUUAUUUUUAGAUAUUUAACCAUUUAACAUAUCUGGCAUAUAUUUGGAUCCAUAGUGUGCGGUACAUAUUCAGCUAUUUUUGACAAAUUCAAAGUGAUCCACAAUACUAUUUACUAAGCUUGUGAUACCAUAUUUUACGUAUACAUUGUAUUACAGUGGGUCCAUUUCUGGGUUCUCCAUUUUGUUACGUUGAUCUACACAUUUAAAAUGGAACGUUUGUUCAGACCAAGUAAACGUUAUGUGACUGGCAUUGUGAGGUAUUUUCCAUGUGCGUUAUCACGUGAGCCUGGUGUGCACCUGUUAGGCAGUUUGAAUUACUGUCGCUGUCUUUCCAGUACGUCUGAAUCCACAGUGGGGCGAGAUUCCACUCCUUGUCCUCUUUUCUCAAACAUUCCUGAUACAUAUUCCUCAUGUGUACGUGUACACUUGUGAAAUUCUCACCCAUUACUCCCAGAUCAUAUUACUUGAUUAAGUGUAUUAUCUGCCCUCCAUAUUCACCCAUACCCCAAACACAUUCCCAUUAGGAGUUUGAAUAGAAUUGUGUUGAAUCACAUACAUAAGAAUCUUUUCAAUAUUUUGUAUUCCCAUGUAAAAAAGAAAACCAUAGUAUAUCAUAAUGCAUCUCUACAUUUAUUACAUUUAACUUUUAUAUUCAAUAAACAUUUACAUUCUACAAGUCUCCAGGUUCUGCCUGUCCUCAUUUCCAUUUCACUUGCUUAGAAAUACUUCAUUCCUCAGGUCCAGCAACUAAAUUGUGUUAAUUCCUCACAAAGUUCCCUGAGUAAUAUCCUUUAUAAGCAGGCGAACACCGAUUAAACAGAAGACAAGUAUUUUAAGUCUUAAUUGCCUCAACAAAAAUGAAAUUAACUCUAUGUAUGCAACACAAGCACCACAAAAUAAUAUCCCAUGCAACCAGUUUAUUUUCUUAGCAUAUUUACAACACAAAGCCCUGAGUUCAUUUAAAAGACGGCCGAAUGGCUGGGAUUACUUAAUACGCCCCCUUCGCUCCCUCCCAACCAACGUCUUUUAUGUCUGCCAUCUGUGAAAUAGGUUUGGAUUCAAAGAUAGUGAAAAACAAACAGAGAAAUGUAAAUGACUUAAAAUUAUAAUAAAAUAUUUUAAGCUUAAGUUUGACGGAGAAAAGUCUACAUAUUGUCGUACAUGUUAAUUAAAUCCAUGUGUUUUCUUAUCCGAUUUAACAAAUGUAGGUACUCUCAAGGAAUCAUAUUUUACAAAACCGAUGUGGUACAUGAAGAAUUCUAGUCACUAUGGUGAAAGGAAAAAGAGGACAAAUAGAAGAAACAGGAGGGGAAAAAAGUCAGAAACAUCUGUGUGAAGGUCGUCCAAGAAGGGCGGAAGCUGUUUUCAUCCACACUUUGAAAGUCACACUCUGUGUCAAGUUGAGUGAAAGCCUGAGCAAUGUGCUUCUCCACCUUCCCGGAAGAAAGAAACACAAAGAAAAUGUGGCAAAUAUUUAAUCCAAGCCUCGUUUCCUGAAAGACUGCAAGAUGCCCACAAACUUUCUUUCCCAGAGUUCAAAAUAGCAAGCUGAGUGGGUGUAAGCACUUCAAGCGCAAAAAAUAUAAAAAUAAAAAAAAUAAUAAUAAGGUAACUAAGGAAAGGAAAUCAUCCUUUUUUGCUCCUCAGUUUGAGACUUUUAAAAGAAGCCAUUUCAAGGGAUUUUAAUGAUUUGGAUCUAGUGGUUGUCUUGAAUCAUUAUACGAAUACAGUCCUGAUGACUUAAACAGGGCCUCUGGCCACUUUUAAACUUUUUCUUACCUUUUCUAUGUUAAGACUAAAUUUACAACCUCAUUGUCACAGUAAGAGCAGGCAACUUCAUUCUGCUACAACCAGACUCUUAAAUCACUCCCACACCACACUGGCGUAAAGGGAGAGUUGCAGGUUCACCGGGUCCUUCCAGGGAGAGGGAGCUUCCUCAACACGGCUAUGAAAACUUUAACAACGUGUGUGAGUCACCAGAGGAGCUGGUUAAAAUGUAGAUUACGAUUCUGCAGGUCUGGGUGGGGGCCAACUUGUUCAAGUUCCCCAGUGAUGCUGAUGCACGGGUCUGAGGCCCACACUUUGAGAAGCAAGGCGGUAACAAUGAUUUACUCAUAGCUAGACAACAGAAGUAACAAUCAACCAAUUAAGAACAUUGGCAAGGUACCUAACACAGUGCUAAUUGUUACAGGAGACAGUAAAGUAUAUAAUAACAUAAGCUCUGAACCAACACAUAAAAAAUUAUUCUUAAAAAAUUAAGUGCUAAUUGCUAAAAUGCGUGGUGACGACUCUAAUAAUGGAGUCCAAUAAUGGAUCUAAUAAUGAAGAGGAAGAGUUCAGCAACAGCUAGAAUAAUGGCACAUGGUUUCAUAGAAGAGGUCGGACCUGAUAAGGCCCCAGGUUGGGAGGAUGUGGACAGAGAAGGAGCAGGAACCAGAAAAGGAAGUGUCUGGAGUUUCAACAUGGGAAAACUACAGUGCACCUCCUUGUGGCUGUAGAUAUUACCAUUUGAAGCUUUUUUUCUCCCAAGGUCCCAGCACAUAGUUGUAUAUCCUAGUUGUUAGUCCUUCUAGUUCUUCCUCGUGGGAGGCCACCACAGCAUGGCUUGUUGAGCUGAGCAGUGUGUAGGUCCAAGCCUGGGAUCAGAACCUGUGAACCCCAGGCCACUGAAGCAGAAUGCACGAACUUAACCAUUAUAUGACCGGGCUGGCUCCUCAUUCAAAACUUUUCACCAGAAUUCACUUUUAGCCAGAUGAAGGGAGCUUCUGACCUUGUUUAAUAUUUGUAGGCAGUUUUGUCCUAGUCUUAUGCAGAUUUUCUCCAUUGGCAACAGCAACAGUGUUAGUGACAUUUUAGGUUUCAGCCUGGUAGCACAAAAUUACCAUUUUUGUAUAUAUAUUUAUGCAUCCCUUUGAUUAACAUAUGUCUCUAAUGAUUAACAAUUUUAACAGCAUUAGAAUAUAACUUUUCACUACAAUAGAAUUAAUAAUCUUCUGU